GAUGAACGCUGGCGGCGUGCCUAAUACAUGCAAGUCGAGCGAACGGACGAGAAGCUUGCUUCUCUGAUGUUAGCGGCGGACGGGUGAGUAACACGUGGAUAACCUACCUAUAAGACUGGGAUAACUUCGGGAAACCGGAGCUAAUACCGGAUGAUAUUUUGAACCGCAUGGUUCAAAAGUGAAAGAGGGUCUUGCUGUCACUUAUAGAUGGAUCCGCGCUGCAUUAGCUAGUUGGUAAGGUAACGGCUUACCAAGGCAACGAUGCAUAGCCGACCUGAGAGGGUGAUCGGCCACACUGGAACUGAGACACGGUCCAGACUCCUACGGGAGGCAGCAGUAGGGAAUCUUCCGCAAUGGGCGAAAGCCUGACGGAGCAACGCCGCGUGAGUGAUGAAGGUCUUCGGAUCGUAAAACUCUGUUAUUAGGGAAGAACAUAUGUGUAAGUAACUGUGCACAUCUUGACGGUACCUAAUCAGAAAGCCACGGCUAACUACGUG
rnacentral:rRNA from 1 species